rfam:Gossypium raimondii Chr09_contig_733, whole genome shotgun sequence.
AUCUCAUGAUGAAGGCACUUUCCUAAUACCUCCUUGAACUACUCCCAUUCCUCAUAUCAAGACUCUUCAUCAAAUUUUGAAAUGAAGUGAUUUCAUUUUGAAGUU